rnacentral:sRNA from 1 species
GCUGGGCGCUGUGGCAGGUGCCUGCAGUCCCAGCUACUGGGGAGGCUGAGGCAGGAGGAUCACUUGAGCCCAAGAGUUUGAGGUUGCUUUGAGUUAUGACGAUGCCACAGCACUCUACCCAGGGCAACAGAGUGAGACUCUUUUUGAGUCUCAGGGUCUCUUUGUCACCCAGGGUAGAGUGCUGUGGCGACAUAGCUCAUAGCAACCUCAAACUCCUGAGCUCCAGUGAUUCUCUUGCC